rnacentral:rRNA from 1 species
CACGUAGGCACCAAGCGUUAUCCGGAUUUAUUGGGCGUAAAGAGCUCGUAGGCGGUUCGGUAAGUCGGGUGUGAAAACUCUGGGCUCAACCCAGAGAGGCCACCCGAUACUGCUGUGACUAGAGUGCGGUAGGGGAGCGGGGAAUUCCUGGUGUAGCGGUGAAAUGCGCAGAUAUCAGGAGGAACACCAGCGGCGAAGGCGCCGCUCUGGGCCGUAACUGACGCUGAGGAGCGAGAGCAUGGGUAGCAAACAGG